rnacentral:lncRNA from 1 species
AUUAGAAUGUUGGUGGUUGUGUAGUGCAUUUGGGGUGCUACAACGUUAAUCAAAUAUAAUUGAGCUGUUCUGUUUCCAGUCAGUGUAACCAUUUAAAAAUACCUUGGCAAAACAAGCUAGGAGCUAGUUCAUGCUAAUAUUCUUAAGGACAAAAAUAGUUUACAGCUUUUUUUUUUUUAAUCUGAAAUCCUGAAGGCUAUGCUUAAAAGUUAGAGAUAAACCUGUUGGAAAUAAGUGAUUCAUUUAUAGACUGAAGCCUCUAUGACUUCAAAAAGAUACUCAACAGUCUCUGGCAUUUGAAGAACAAAAUAUUUUCUCUGUAAAUACACCUCAUUUCCAUUCUAGUUAGGAGCAAUGGCGCCCAGGACGGCACACAGAAUGGAGAAAACUGGAUAGCUGGUAACUCAUUUAGCUCUUGGCACUCUAAAAAACCUCAAAUACAGCCAUCCAAGCCAGUAAUUCUAUUGCUGCGUUAUUUCUGUGUUUAACUGUGAAACUUGCUUCUUGUCUGUACCCUUGAAAUGGAAUAAAAUUUCAUGAGACUCCUUGUUAA